CCACGCAGGAACCAAUCGGCCCUAUCCUUGUCAUCCUGUACCACAUCCGGGACACAAUUCACGAUGCGAAAAAAUUCUCGUUCGUAUUCCCUCACAGAGCGGUCUCCUUGCCGCAGCUUCCUGAACCUGUCCUGAAGCUUUCUCUUUUCAGUAUCGGAGAAAUAAGCCGAAAACACCAAUCUCCGAAACUCAUCCCACGCCAUAG
rnacentral:lncRNA from 1 species